rnacentral:rRNA from 1 species
AAAGCUUUUGCGGUUUGGGAUGGGCCUGCGUCCUAUCAGGUAGUUGGUGAGGUAAAUGCUCACCAAGCCUAUGACGGGUAGCUGGUCUGAGAGGAUGGUCAGCCAGACUGGGACUGCGACACGGCCCAGACUCCUACGGGAGGCAGCAACUAGGAAUUGUGCGCAAUGGACGAAAGUCUGACGCCGCGACAUCGCGUGGAGGAUGAAGGUCUUCGGAUUGUAAACUCCUUUUCUUACCGAACAAGUUCUGAGUGUAGGUAAGGAAUAAGUGCCUGCUAACCACGUGCCAGAAGCAUCGGUAAUACGUGGGGCACGAGCGUUAUCCGGAUUUACUGGGCGUAAAGAGAAGCGUAGGCGGCUCGAUAAGUUUGGUGUUAAAUCUUCCGGCUCAACCGGAAACAAGCACCGAAAACUAUCGAGAUUGAGUCGAGUAGGGAAGAGGGGAAUUCCUGGUGGAGCGGUUAAAUGCGUAGAUAUCAGGAGGAAUACCAAGGGCGAAGGCACCUCUUUGGACUCGUACUGACGCUGAGGCUCGAAAGCGUGGGUAGCAAAACGGAUUAGAUACCCGUGUAGUCCACGCCGUAAACGAUCCCUGUUAGAUGUAUGUCU